AUUGCUUCUUGGCCUUUUGGCUAAGAUCAAGUGUAGUAUCUGUUCUUAUCAGUUUAAUAUCUGAUGCAUCCUCUAUCCAAGGACAUUAUAUCAAAUGAAUUUUUGGAGCUGGGAGAUGCAAUAAGAUCUUGCUUCAUCCACUCUGUGCAUCGACCCUGUAUUGCAGUAUUUCCAGGAAUGGGGCAUGAAAA